UAAAUAUAAACCGGAGUUUAUGAUUGAAAAAUUGGUGGUCGAUCUAUUGCCAUAAAAAGACUGUGAUGAGUUGUGUCGCUUUACAAUAUACAUAGCUUCUUUAGAGCUUUGAGCAAUGUUCCGUAAUAUAUCUUUCAAACAAAGAAUAUCAAGAUUGACACUUUCGUGUAAAUCUUCAAUGCAAAGUAAAUUAAAAAUAGACUCUCCAUUGUUAAUUCUCAGAAAGCCCCGAUACGAAGGAUUUCGCAAUAAAUUGUAAUGUUCGGCAAAAGAACAAAUGGCUUGAACACUCUUAUUGACUAAUGAAAUCGGGAUGUUCCCAGGGUGUUUUUCGGAAACAGGCAGAUGCGACACUAGGUAUAUGU